rnacentral:rRNA from 1 species
AUUGAACGCUGGCGGCAUGCCUAACACAUGCAAGUCGAACGGCAGCACGGCAGGUAGCAAUACUGUGGGUGGCGAGUGGCGGACGGGUGAGGAAUACGUCGGAAUCUGCCCAGUCGUGGGGGAUAACUAGCCGAAAGGUUAGCUAAUACCGCAUACGACCGAGAGGUGAAAGCGGGGGACCGCAAGGCCUCGCGCGAUUGGAUGAGCCGACGUCGGAUUAGCUAGUUGGUGGGUAAAGGCCCACCAAGGCGACGAUCCGUAGCUGGUCUGAGAGGAUGAUCAGCCACACUGGAACUGAGACACGGUCCAGACUCCUACGGGAGGGCAGCAGUGGGGGAAUAUUGGACAAUGGGCGGAAGCCUGAUCCAGCAAUGCCGCGUGUGUGAAGAAGGCCUCGGUGU